UCGUCGACCUGGCGCUUACCGGGGCUCAGGGAGUUUGCGUGCCCCCGGGGCGCGGAGGGAUCCGACCGGGGCGCGGAGGGAUCCGACCGGGGCGCGGAGGGAGACGACGUCGGGCGAGCCCGCGGAGGGAUCUGUGCCGCGUAGUGCUCUGUGCCGCGUAGUGCUGCGACCCUGCGGGCGGGCAACGAGGUCUCAGAAGAGGCUGUUGUAGCUAGAAGGCCUUAUCCCACGGGACGCUUCCAAGCAGAUCCCUGAAGAGGCUAGAGUCGGCUCUCCUCAAGUCCAGGGACGUGAGCUUGCGUUUUACCCUCCUCCCUCCUCUCGGGAUCCUGAACUCCACCAUCUCACGGUCACUGCAGCCAAGGCCGCCUUUGACCUUCGCAUCCCCAACGAGCCCCUCCUUGUCGGUCAGUAGGAGGUCCAGCAGAGCACCUCUCCUCGUUGGCUCCUCUAUCACUUGGUGAGAACAAUCAUCCACUGGAACAGCCUCCCCAGGGAUGUGGUAGAGUCCCCAUCGCUAGAGGUUUUCAAGGUGCGAUUGGACAGGGUGCUAGAUAAUCUCAUCUAGGCUCCCUUUCCCACAAAAGGAUGGACCAGAUGAUCUUUCAAGGUCCUUUCCCACCUGGGCUGCUCUAGGAUUCUACGAUUCUUCAGUGGAUCACUGUUUAAUAAUAACCCUUUGCUCGCUCUGGUUUGGAGCAAAGUAUCGGCAACGUUGCCUGCGAGGCGAGACGUGAAUUCCACCAGGCGCCACAGGCUUCUAAAACCUAUGGUAAUCGCCCAGUCUCUCUGAAUGUAUAAGACUGUCGUGGUUUCAGCCCAGCCGGUAACAAAGCACC